rnacentral:lncRNA from 1 species
CUGCAAGCUAUAUGAUUGAACUUCAACUCAACUUAAACCAUCCCCAUGCUUGUACAUUCCCAAAAUUAAAUUAACAAGCACACACACGGCUUUUGCAAGAUAUUAACAACAUAAGAGAGGGAAGGAAGGGCUGCUCUACUAGGCAGAGUAUAAGAUUAUAUCCAGGACAUUACAGAAAUGAAUGAAAUAGAAGAGUAGGCCCAAAAUAUAACUUAUAUCCAUGGUAUUUCACACUCAAACACAAGUUUGCAUUGCACAUGUUGUAUAUAGUUCCAAGGGGUACCUGGAUUUCAAAACAAAACAGAAAUUGAUGGUUCAGCAGCAGAACAACAACAACAAUGGAGUUAGCGCAGAAAUAACCAAAGAAAACCAGCUUUGAGCCAAGUUUGAACCAGCAGAUAAGAUACAAUAAUCCAAACACUAAUUUCAGUCACUCGAUGGACCAGCAGACCCCAAGACAACUCAACUUUAACCCAUCUUAAAACCAGCUGACCAGAAAAUUGACUUAGCACCAAGAAAACCUCACAAAUCACCAAAAGAAAUCAAUGAAACAGUAUUAUUCUAAAGUUUUCAGCUCUUUGCCUUUUCCUCUAAGAACUUUUAGCUCUUGAAGUCUAUGAAAGUAGUAAAAUUUUUGCAGCUUCUGUAUUUAUUGGAUUUCCAGCUCUCAAAAUCUCAUUUGAGCUCUAAGUAACAAUGCCUUUAUAGGCAAGCUACUAGGGCAACCUCAAGGAGUUCAAAUUUGCACUUAAAACCUUCUGAAAUUUUCAUUUUAGCUUCGAAAUCCCUAGUGUAAACCUCAAAAUUUCAAAAUACCCCCCACCCCAGCUUCUAGGAAGCUUCCUAGUUCAGUUAUAUAAGAUUCCCAAGCCUAGACUACCCAAAUUACCCCUUAGUGACCCUGUUAUUACCUGAAGGAACCGGACAGAGCAUGGGUCGAUUCGACCCAAUUGAAUUUAUUCAGGUUCGACCCAAACCAGUAAAUCAAAGAUUAGAGGCAUAAACCCAAACCCAACCCAAGUCGAAUUGAAUGCUCAUAACAGAGACGAGUCUGAACAACAGAAAUCAAGUACUGGACUAAGAUUAAAGAGAUUACCAGAUAAAACUAACCUAACUAAUCAAGCUAAGUGACCUAACAUUUUUUAAAAUAACAUGCAUAAUAGACAAUUCAUAAACAAACACAAAAGACCUAACGGGACAAUAAAUAAUAGAAGAAACGAAGAAAGUAGAAGAGGAAAAGGACUGAGGAGAAGAAACGAAACAUACCAAAGAGGACCCGGACAAAAGGGCCUAAGGGAUAGCCUUCAACUCAUCGAUUCCGGCCCAAUCCGAAGUUAAUCGUAUGUUCUUAAUAUCAAGAACACACGAGUAACAUCGAUUUAGGCCUAAAAUCUUCUAAACCUCGCUGAUUCUGACCUCUGGACUUUUUAGGGUUGUUCAUUCAAAUCCAGAUUCGAGGAGCUUCACUAAUAUUCGAGGGAAACGGAGUGGUUUUCUGGAAUGAGGGUGAGACGAGGGUUCAAGGGUGUUAUUUUGGGGACGAUUGGGUGAGUUGGAGUUUUGAUCUUCCUUUUCGAUUCAAGAUUCGAAGAGUUCUAGUAGGAUUCGAGGGAGGGGUUUUGGAGAAUUGGGAAGAGGAGAAGGAGGGGAGUUUAUGGCAUUAAUUUGGGGUCGAUUGGAGUACCGCCGCCGGCGGAGACGAUUUCCGGCAGGCGGUUCCGGCGGAGGCGAUGAGGGUCUGGUGAAGGAGAUGAGAGGGGGUAGGGGGGCUGUUUGGACACUUAUAUAUCAAGAUGAGGUUAGUUCUGGACCGUCAGAUCAACUAACCUCGACGGUCGAGAUCAAAGGAUAACAAAACGACGUCGUUUCGGAUGAAGGGGUGAUCGGACCGGGUUGGGGCACGGGUUUGGGCCGGGUUUCGGGUGGUUUAGACGGGUGUGGGGUUUGGGCUUGGCAAUGUUUAAUUGUUUUUGGCCCAAAUGAAAACCUGAUCUCCUUUUUUCCAAAAUCUUUUCCUCUUUUUCUUUUCUUCUUCUUUUUUUCAUUUUUUCAGAUUUUGUUAAAUGCAAGUUAACAUAACAUAAAAAAAACUGAUUUAAAUCCAAAAACUAACUAAUUGCUUUUCUCAAAAUUAAUUAAGUCCUAAUUUAAAAAGAAAACUAUGACAAAUUCAAAAAUUAAAAGUUAAAAAUGCAAGAACGAACUAUUUUUGUUAUUUUCUUCCAUUUUGUAACAUUAAUUAAAUAAUUAACCUAAAAAAAAUAUGAAAUUGAGUCCUAAAUGCAAAUGCAACAUAUAUUUUCUAUUUUUUGUAUUUUUCACCAAUUAAAAUGCACAGACAAAAUGCACCCAAUUAACAGAAAAUGCCACGAAAAUCCACAGAAUUGCAAACACUGAAAGAAAUUAUUUUAUUUUGAAUUUAUAGGAGUGAUUCAUAUAGGGCAAAAAUUACGUGCUCACAUUUUUAUUAUUUUUCCUGCAAAAUAUGAAAAUCUAUCAUCAGGUAGAUUCUAUAUAUAUCGUUGUCAAAUGAUGUUGUGCAAUAUGAUGUUGUAUUUGACAAUUAUAUUAUUAUUAUUUGUGGUUUUAGAUUUCUCUAGAAUGAAUAGGCCUGAAUAAAAAUUUAAAAUAUGAAAUGGAUCUAAAUAGAGCAGAAUGGGAAUUACUGACUUUUCUUCCUCCUCCUCUUUCAACUUCUUCUCCUCUGUCUUUCAGUUUUGAAAAAUGAUUUGUUUAUGUAUAAUUUUGCCUUGAUUUUUUUUGGUACCGAACAUAUAUUUUGUAUUCUUUGAAUUAAUAUAAUAUCACAAAAAUACAUAGAAAUAAAAUAAAAAAAUUGGUCAGGUGAAUAUUGAUUGAAUAUUGUGAUAAUGGUAUUUUCUCAAUAUUCAUUAAGUGUUUUAAAGGUUAUAUUUUAUUUUCUCUCUUUUUCCUUUAGUGCGUUAUUUUGAAAAUUCAAAAUACUUCAAAUACAAAAAUAGAAAAAGAAUGAAAAUGAAGUAUAAUGCAAAGAUAUUAUAGAAAUAGAAAACUAAACCUUAUGUUGAAUUUUUAACAACACAUAGAAGAACUAUUUGUUGUGCUAAAUUUUAAGUUUCAAUAUACAAUAUUUCUUUCACAGAUUUUUUGUUUUCAAAAUUGAUAUGCUUAAUAGUGAUGGUAUCAUUUUGUGGCAUGAUGUAAGAUGUCAUCAAAAUAUGGCAAAUAGCACAAUAAGGUAUCAAUGGCAAUAGUUAAUAUUCAUUAAAGUUUUCUUUUAUCUUUAUCGAUAGAAGAAGAUUUAGUCCCCAUAAUUUAAACCUUUAAAUUAGCCCAAGGAAGUUCUUGCAAAGGAGUAAAACUAUGCUUUAAUGUGUAUAAAAUUAGAGAAAGCAAGUCUAGAAGAUUUUAGAAAGAAGUAAUCAACUUUGGAAAUGUAAUUACAUCAUAAUUGAUAAUGUUAUGACUGAAGAAUAGAAAAGAGAAUUGAAUAGUUAAGACUGUUUUUUAAAUUAUAAGAAAUUUAAAAACAAAUUUUCAUUCAUAUUUUAUUUAUAAGAUCACGCGAAGCGCGAGCAAAUUGACUAGUGACUAAAUAAAGACGUCUUCUACCAUUGAAGACACGACUAAAACAUCACACCACAUCGAAAGCAACUCUAGAUGGAAGAUUCCAAAAAUCCCAAGCAUGAAAACAGAAAUGAAGUCUUACUUAAAUGGAGAGAAGACUUUAAUUUUAAAGAACAACUUCCGUCAACUUCAAUACAAUAUCGUAGGAGAAAAUCGUCGAUAACCUCCAAAAUCACCAGCCAUUUUGCUUUAUUCAUAAGAGUAUAUGAAAUAAGUAACGAAUGAAAUGAAAUCGGUAUUUUGAGGGGCUA